CCCUGGUGGCUCAGAGGUAAAGAAUCUGCCUGCAACGCAGGAGACCUGGGUUCAAUCCCUGGAUCAGGAA
rnacentral:tRNA from 1 species